CUUUCUGAUGCUGACCUUGCUUGUUCAGCAGCCGUAUCAGGGCACAUCAGCCCUGGCUGCUUGAUCACAGGAGUUUGAGCCCCACCAUGUCCUGGCAGUGGAUAUUUCUGGGAGCCAGCAUCCCACACCAUGCACCGCUGCUGAGGGAUCAGUUUGAACCCAGGGAUGCCCAGGGAUGCUACAAGCAAGCGGUGCCAGGCUGACCUGUUGGCUCACAAGAUGAGAGGGGUUAACUCAUCAGAAUGAAGAUCCCCUCUAUUGGCUUAUCCAAAUCUUUACUAAAAGUGUGAUAUCCAUGAGCACAAAUAGAAAAAUGCAUCCAAGAAUUAAUGUAUGUGGGAGUUUAAAGGAGGGAGUGAAAAAAGGAAAGAAGUCCGUGUUGCUUUGAGGUUAUUUUAAAAACUGAAACUGAAUAGGUCAAUACCCCUUAAGCUUUUUGGUCUUUAAUUCUCUUAAUGGUAUGGCAGAAAUCGUUAAUUGUAUUAUUAAAAAAGCUUUGAAGACUGUA